GUGUCAGCAGCCGCGGUAAUACGUAGGUGGCGAGCGUUGUCCGGAAUUACUGGGUGUAAAGGGCGUGUAGGCGGGCCUGCAAGUCAGAUGUGAAAUUCCGGGGCUUAACCCCGGCGCUGCAUUUGAAACUGCGGGUCUUGAGUAUCGGAGAGGGAAGUGGAAUUCCUAGUGUAGCGGUGAAAUGCGUAGAUAUUAGGAGGAACACCAGUGGCGAAGGCGACUUUCUGGACGAUAACUGACGCUGAGGCGCGAAAGCGUGGGGAGCAAACAGGAUUAGAAACCCUCGUAGUCC
rnacentral:rRNA from 1 species